GAAUUCGAGAUCGUGACUUGGAGGGACAGAUGCGAUGAUAUUGGUGUGAUGAAGCGAUGGUGGCGCGAUGAGAGAUCGAUGGUGGUGGGCGGAUCGAAUCGAUGGUUUGAGAUAGUGGUGUGAUGCGGCGGAUCGAGUGAGAUGAGAAGGGGGACGUGGUGUGAUGAUCGAUUAGGUGAUGAUGGAUAGAUAGAAGAAUCUCUUGUAAACUGAUCAGUUUUUAAGAGAUUCGAAUUUCA
rnacentral:lncRNA from 1 species